rnacentral:lncRNA from 1 species
CGUGCCUGUAACCCCAGCUACUCAGGAGGCACAAGAAUCGCUUGAACCCAGAAGGUAGAGGUUGCAGUGAGCGUGGUGCCACUGCACUCCAGCCUGGGUGACAGAGUAAGAUGCUGUUUAAACAACAACAACAACAACAAACAAACCAAAAAAACCUCAACAACUCCCCAUUGCUCUGAAGAUCAAGACCAAAACCUUUAAUUUGAUCUAUAGGACUCAAGAGAUUUGGUCCUCCCUCCAGCUUAUCACACACAUCUACCUCUUUGCUCCAGCCACCCUAGCUUUCUUCCACAUUUUCUUUUCUUUUCUUUUUUUUUUUUUUUUUUUUCCUGAGUAGCUGGGACUACAGGCACCCGUUACCACGCCCGGCUAAUUUUUUUGUAUUUUUAGUAGAGAUGGGGGUUUCACCACGUUAGGCAGGAUGUUCUCGAUCUCCUGCUCUCGUGAUCCACCCACCUCGGCCUCCCAAAGUGCUGGGAUUACAGGCGUGAGCCAUCGCACCUGACCGCUUUCUUCCACAUUUUCAAAGACACUGGGCUUCUUCCACCUCCGGGCUUUGGCACAUGCUGUUUCAUCUGCCUGGGUCACACAAAUUUUCACACGAUUGGCUCUUUUCCCCGUUCAGCAUUCAGGACCAAUGACCUCAUUGGACAGGCUUUCCUAACGCUCCAUCUAAAGUCACUCCUCAUCCUCAGUCACUCUAUCCCAUCAUCCUCUUUUACUUUUUUCAUAACAUUUACUACCAGCUGAAAUUAAAAUGUUCAUUUCCUUGUUACCUGCAUCUCCCACAGCAUAUUAAGUUAUAUGAGUUCAGAGAUUUUGUGUAUGUUGUUCACUGCAGUAUCCCUGGUGUCUAGGGUGGUGUCUAGGGUGGUGCCUGGGAACCACUAGGCAUUCAAAUAUUUGUUAAAUAACUGAAUGACUCAAAGAAGCUUGGGAGGUAGCAGUUAUUACUCCUGUUUUACGAACGAGAAAAUGAAGGUCCAAAGAGGUUUUCGUUACCCGCCCAAGGACCCAUAAGCUUGGAAGGGGUAGAUCUAGAAUGUAAAUCCAGACACAGCUCAAAAUUGAUGUCUCUCUAUACUCUAACUCUUUCCCCACCCCCUUCCCACUCCUUCUAGUUCUGUCAUCUGCUUCAGGACUCCUUUGGGAACCUACAAGUUUUGUCACAGAUGCCACAGCAGCAAGUGUUUCAGCCUAUUACAUACACACAUACAUGCAGACAUGCACACACAGAGACAUGUACAUAGACACCCAUGCACAAAUAAAAAACAGCUGUCUUUCCUAGCAUAAAAUUCAUCUCAUUCAUCUAGAUAAUUGAUGAAAUACAACAGAAUUAAGGCAGGAGUGCCAAUAAUUGCAUGAAAAA